rnacentral:rRNA from 1 species
GAUGAACGCUGGCGGCGUGCCUAAUACAUGCAAGUCGAGCGAACAGACGAGGAGCUUGCUCCUCUGACGUUAGCGGCGGACGGGUGAGUAACACGUGGAUAACCUACCUAUAAGACUGGGAUAACUUCGGGAAACCGGAGCUAAUACCGGAUAAUAUAUUGAACCGCAUGGUUCAAUAGUGAAAGACGGUUUUGCUGUCACUUAUAGAUGGAUCCGCGCCGCAUUAGCUAGUUGGUAAGGUAACGGCUUACCAAGGCAACGAUGCGUAGCCGACCUGAGAGGGUGAUAGGCCACACUGGAGCUUGGACACGGUCCAGACUCCUAAGGGAGGCAGCAGUAGGGAAUCUUCCGCAAUGGGCGAAAGCCUGACGGAGCAACGCCGCGUGAGUGAUGAAGGUCUUCGGAUCGUAAAACUCUGUUAUUAGGGAAGAACAAAUGUGUAAGUAACUAUGCACGUCUUGACGGUACCUAAUCAGAAAGCCACGGCUAACUACGUG